rnacentral:lncRNA from 1 species
AUCCUGACACCCUGCUACUCUAGAUACUAAAGGCCUUGUUUCUGAGACGUAGUAGGCUUGUCGCUGGCAAACUAAUUCCCAGGUCAGAAUCGUGUCUUCCUUACUCUGCUUCACCUGGCACCCCUGCCCUUUCCUGUCCUCAGGCUGCAGAUGGAGCAGGCUCAACAAGGAGCAGGUAGGGAAUGGCAUGGACCCUGGGGACUCUGAAGCAGGCUGCAGCCCUACACUGGCUUAGGGUGCUUCAGCCCGCCAGAUCUGUGCAGCCUUCCAGGACACUGUCCAGAAGGCCUCUGGGAGCACCCCUGGCCUUAUCUGGCAAGGCCCGUCUGGAGGGCUGGCCUCUGGGAAACUACUGGGUACCAGGAGUUGCUGGAACAAAGGUGAGCUCUAGAUGAAGCCACACGGACCCUGCUUCAAAUAUGGAAGUGCUCUCCCAGGGAAGACAGAGGGUCCCCGUGACCUGACCAGGAUGAAAGACGGACUUCUCCAUCGGAAAAGCGAAGUAUUCAGCAGAAGCUAGAGCCUGGGGUGUAGCUCCCCGGGUGACCCUGGCCCUCACGAAGGGGACACUUGUGUGUCGUCAGGCUCUUGUCUUCACAGGUGCACAGCACCCCGGUGAUUUCAGGAAAAGUGUUGCCAGUGCUGUCCAUGUCCUGCAGUCCCUGCCCGCCGGGCAGUUACUCCAGGAGACUCGGGUUUCCGCUCAGGACCUCCCACUUCCCUCUCUCCGGGCUCUGCUUUCCUCAUCUGCACAACAGUGCUCCUGGCCUGGCCUCCCUUCCAGGUGCAGAAUCAGGAUGCUGCCAGCUCCAAAGAACCCCAGCCAUGAGCAGGUGUUAGACAAUGGAAGGAGGCCCAGCCGGCUCAGCCAGGAGCUCCGAACCGGUGUCGGGGGAAGCCAUCCCACCCAGCAGGAAGGGACCUCUUCUAGGAGAGACCCGGGUUGCAGACCCACACCGGCCACGGGACCUAGACAGCCUGCUCACCCUGCCAACUGUUCGUUCCUUAAAGUUGGGGACUGUUUUGUUCAUCGUGCUCUCCUCACAGUGCAUGUCUUGGUUGGGCCCCAAAGAAUCUUAAGUAAAUAAAUCAAUGAAUGGCAUGUGUCCGGACUGGCCCGAAGGUAAGUAUCACCUGGGCUGUUUGUUAAACUGUUGAUUCCCGAGUCCCAAUCCAGACCUUUCAGAGUUAGAAUUUGGAGAGAGGGUUAGGUAAUCUGUGUGUUUAACACGCACCCCUGUGAGUCUUCCCAG